UACGUAGGGUGCGAGCGUUGUCCGGAAUUACUGGGCGUAAAGAGCUCGUAGGUGGUUUGUCGCGUUGUUCGUGAAAUCUCACGGCUUAACUGUGAGCGUGCGGGCGAUACGGGCAGACUAGAGUACUGCAGGGGAGACUGGAAUUCCUGGUGUAGCGGUGGAAUGCGUAGAGAUCCGGAAGAACACCGGUGGCGAAGGCGGCCUGCUGGGCAGUUGCUGACACUGAGGCGCGAAAGCGUGGGGAGCAAACAGG
rnacentral:rRNA from 1 species